CAAUAGCGUAUAUUAAAAUUGUUGCGGUUAAAACGCUCGUAGUUGGAUAUCUGCUAAGGGGUUCAGGUCCUUCCCAGUGAAGAAUACGCGGAACUCUUCUUGGCAUUUAUUCAGGGAAGGUGUUUGCACUUUGUUGUGUGUCACGUGAUCUGAAUUUUUACUUUGAGGAAAUGAGAGUGUUUCAAGCAGGCUUUCGCCGUGAAUAUGAUAGCAUGGAAUAAUAGCACAGGACCCCUUUCCAAAGCUGUUGGUUUUUGGAACGAGGUAAUCAGAAUAAGGAUAGUUGGGGGUAUUCGUAUUUAACUGUCAGAGGUGAAAUUCUUGGAUUUUUUAAAGACGAACUAUUGCGAAGGCAUCUGCCCAGGAUGUUUUUAUUGA
rnacentral:rRNA from 1 species